GACGUGUCGAGGCAGUCGUCUUGGAACCUUUGUACGAGAAACAUCUUUCCGAAUAUAUAAACGUUUCGUCUAUCGAAAACUAUAUAACCUGAUUUAAAAAUUUACUCUUUAAAAAAUAAAUUGAAAAUUAUUUCGAUAAUUAUAAUAUUUAAUUAAAGAGCGUUUUCCGUGAUACAGAAUUUAGAGUAGUGAUAUUGUGCGUUUCUAGUUCAUAUCGUAUUAUGAACAACUUUGCAUUCUAAGAUUUCGAUAAUAAAUCGUUCGAAUUUGCGUCAGAGUAGUAAUGCCGUUUCACGAUCGUCAUCUUCCUUGUCGUCAAGGGGAAGGAACCUCGUUGAAAGGAAAAAGAAGGAAGAAAGUUGUAAAAAGAAAACUGUGCUGCGUUGGAAGGGACGUAGUAACAGUUAUGUCGAAGAAGAAGAAGGUAAGGCUGCGAGGGUGGGCUUUAUUAUGUCUGAGGAGGAGUCACGCGAGUAAGAAGCUAAGGAGAGAUAUAGCUUAAGCCGAGGACAAAAACUAGAACGGGGGUUUGCCUUCAGUGUCUUUUGCACGAGGGAUACGGGAUCACAUAAAGGGUUUUAUUAUGUCUCCCUUUUUCUCCCUUUCUGAGAAACCACAACGAAGAGCUAGCGGCUAACAAUAAGAGCGACACGUGCGCUCGUACACGCUACGUGCUCUCUUCGAUGAUUCGCGUAGAAAAUAUGUCCCCUCGGGAUUCGCAGAAAAACGGCUAAUCUUUGAAGACACCAAUUAAUGUAUUCGUUCGUAUUAAUAUCGUCGAUGAAUCGAAUUAAAGCCGCACCCCUCAUCGCCUAGCAUGGAAAUGAAAUUUCCAACACGGUAAUCCUCACUAAUAUCCAGAGAAUAACUAAAAUAACGUAACGGUGUCAUUGUCCCUUCGAGCCAACCGAUAUCGAUUGAUUCGAGUUAUCGUGGAAUCUCCUCUCGCUACCGACAUAUCCAUCACCUCUUCGAGCCGCGUAAAUAAAUUACGUUCGCGUGACAUUUACCUUCUAUGCUGGCACAGCUUUACCUUCGAUCCUUCUUUCACUCUUCCUCCCUUUUUAUCCUCUCCGCUUCUUCCUCUCAUUGCCUCUUACGAAAAAGAAACUUUUAUAAAAGAUAUGUUUUUCCUUCUCAAAGAGACGAAAACGUAGAGCCGCACGUGGUCACUCAAAGAGCUUUCCCAUGUGUGAAUAAAUCCAAGAAAAAGAGAUGGUUAUGUCAAACAGAUGGAAGAAAGAAAAGGAAGGCGAAACGAGUGCAGUCGAGAGGCAGUGAAUCGUCCUGUGGCAACCUCUUCGAUAGCGUAUUACCAACAUAAGCCUCGGACGAAUGUCCUUUUGAUUGCCAGCCCGUUAAGAAGGAUGAUACGUUUCCUUUUGAAUUCGCCAUGUUGCGUAAUUAACGUUCCCGCAAUUACGACUGUGUACCACCAAUUUGGAACCAUCUCCAACGUAAAUGGCGUUAAUUGCGCUACAAAGUUUCGUUCUUCAACAGGCUAAAAGAGCAUGUAGAGUGUUUCUUGUGUAUGUGAGUUGUUAAUAAUUAAGAUAUUGUAACUAGUUCAUUCAUAAAUUUCUACAGUUCAAGAAUCAAAGCGAAAGUAAAGGAUAAAUGCAUAAUGCAUCUUUAAAAUAAUUUGCUCUUGUUUAUGAUGCCAUCAUUUCAAUAAUUAUACAAAUAUAAUGUAAUCAUACAAAACUUCAUAUACAUUUUGCGUUUUCCACAAGAAUAAUAGAAUGUUCGAUAGUUGCUAAAAUAAAACUGGUCGCUCCGAUUCGAUUCACCAUCGAAAAGCUCGUAAAUAUUUAUGAAAUUAUCGUACGGGUAAAUCAGUUUCGAGGAUUUGAAUCUUUAACGAAAGGAUGAAUUUACAUGAGUACUCUUCUAAAAAUAGUAAUUUUUUAUCGUGUUAUCAUCGCUCUUAAUAGGUUCGUUAUAUCGACAGUAAUAGCUCCUUCGUGUAUCGAAAAGCAUCGGUCUGACCGAAAUAAUAACGCGGGCGACGGUGGGUAGUUCUUUUGUAGGCCUUGGCGUGCAAGAAGACGGUAAAUAGUUAGAAAGGUGCAAAACUGAGCGCGUUCCUAGUGGCCCAGGGUAUUCGGCCGUGCAAGGUUUUAAAUAAAGCGAUAAAUUUUGAGGGAGCAGAGGGCGCACGGUCCUUAAGUAAAAUCUCCGUUGAACUAGAAGGGAAGAUUUAUAGGAUGUUUAAAUCGGUAAAUAGUUUCGUGCUGGGUAAUCCUUUUUGUAAGAGGAUACGCGUUUAAUAAAAAAAGAAAAAAAAUGAACGAAAAAGCAAAAAACGAAGGAAAGAAAAAAAAGAACCAACAAUUUUUAGAUGCUUAGAGUACGUUCGACACCAAACGUUAUCUCCUUUAAUACUCGCUCCAACGAAACUUGGAAGUACGCUUUCGUAUUAUUUGUUAAAACGAUCUCGGGCAAUUCGCGAGAACUUGGUCCAUUUGCAAAAAGUUGAAGCUCUUUUCUCUUCUUCUCCUUUCUUUCUCCUUCUUACCUUUACUUUCCACUCCUCAGCUUUAUUCGCCUUCUCGGUCGUUGUUCUGGAAUAUCGUUAGGAACUUCACGCGUUCUUAUCUAACGUUACUUAUGGCGAUUUUAAAAACUUAAAGUCGCCUUGAUCAGUCGUUGAAUAUAUUAUGGCCGAACUCUUUCUCUUCCUCUCUCUCUCUCUCUCUCUUCUCAAUACGAAAUAUUUUUCUAAUCAUUCGACCUUUCCUUUUAUAUGUAUGCAUACUUCUAGCAAAAAAUAUAUCUGUAAUUAUAUCUGACAUUGUCUUAAAUUAUUUAUUUCUUUUACUUUCUUUUACCUUCGACAAAAAAAAAAUUAUAAUAAUUUCUGAUAUCAUUACCGAUAUUUCACUUUACUUAGAUGUAGUUCAUUGUUACGGUUAAUCGGUUGAUAACGAAUUUAUGCACAACCGUUCACAGCUUGCGGCGUUCGUUAUUAUGAAACACGUAGGGUAUUGUGUUGAAAGCAAGAGGAUCGUUAGUUCCUUUAAAGUUGUAUACCAGACGUUGACACAGGAAAGAUUAAUGUAUCGAACGAUGGAGGACAAUUUUCUGAAGACCGAUAAAGACCAAAGGAAAAAGACAGCUUCCUGUUCGUGUCGACUGUCUUAUUAAGUUGUCGGUAAAAUUGGAUUAGUAGAUUUAUCGAUUUGCUCGUUAACUAUUAUACGUUUAUAACAUCUCUUUGUGCAUAUAUAUGUGUAUGGAUGUAUAACAUAUUUUUUUUACAAACGCAAUACUCAUACUUUGAUUUUAACGAUUUGAUUAACAUUAAAUCAAUUUUAAUACAAUGUAUUAUAAAUUCGUCGUGUCUCUUAAUGUAACAUUCUUUAAAUAUAGGAGUAUUUGCAAUUAAGAAAAUAAAUAAACAGUUUCGAAAACUCUGUUAACAAGUUUUCGGUAUAGUUUGUAACUACUUUAAAAACGAAAGAAAUGUUUAACAUAUUCCUUAUUCCGAUAAAUACUAAUUUGAUUUAGCCGAGUAUAUUUAUUUACUUGAAUUCUCAUAUCCAUAUUUUUUGUACAACUUCUUUUGUUUGUCUUUCAUAAAGCAGUAAUUUCUUGAUUCGCUUUAAGAGGUAAAGAUAAGGGACUUCCUCGCCUCAACUUUUUCUUUCGUUUAACAAGACUACGUUUACUUUCUUAGACGAUGCUACCUGUCGGGACUUUGAUUUACGGGAUAGCUAACGAUACCAUGGUCGUAAAGGUCGUAACGUUCUAAAGAUGUAGAUAGACCGCACGAAAUAACCAUCUACAAAAGUCCGAGCCACAGAGCGGAUAGUCGUUAAUUACUCGAGUCCGUCGAUAAAGCGUUAUCACCCAAUGGCACACCAAGCGACGACGAACAAACAUGGCUCGAUAUCUAAAAUAAUAAUUAUACCUAUUCUAAAAUAAGCUUAUUGAAUUAUUUCUAAUUUGAUAGUUUUUAUCGAACGAUCAAUAAUGCAUUAUCAUGGAUCAUAUAUUUUUACGCGAUGAAUAAUUCGUCUGGGUUGCGUGUGCAUGCGUGCGUAUGUAGUAUAAUGAACUCAAGUAGCAAUUAACUCCGUAAUUGAUUUCACCGUGCAUAAUUAUUUGGCUAUUUUAAUUAUUCAAUCUGUUAUGGUAACGCAAGACUUAAAAAAUAAGCAAAAAAUUUGAUAGCUUAUCAAAUAGUUACUACGAGAUACGCUUCGUUCUAUCGAGUUUCAUCUAUAUAAUCUCAUUCGUGUCAGUCCCUCUUUACAAAUUCAUAUUUUUUUUAUUUCUUCCAUUUUUGAUCAUGAUGCAUGUUUUUUAAUUAAUAAGUUACUUUUUAGAGAUAGGUAAAGAAAGAUGUCCGUUAUUAUCAUCGUAAAGACAAAAUAACUACUUAAUUUUCUUUAGUGCUUCCGACCAUUAUAAUCUCGCACAUUCGCUCCAAUGAAAAGGUACACGCAGAAACAUACGGAUAUAUACACUUUAAAAAAAAACCUGACGUUAGUAGGAACAUGGCCUUGCGGAAGAGUAAAUUAAAACGCUCGCGGCUUUGGCUGCCGUAGACGUUCCGUCGUUUAUACACAGCUGUACGCGAAUGCGUCUGUCUUUUUGUACGAAAUAGUUGUGUACGUGUGCAUGCAUGUCAAGUUUGCGAGCGACUUCCAAAAAGCUCUACUCGGUCAGAAACGAAGAAACGGGGACUCGUUUGAGCAAAAUAUUAAAUCGCCACGAAAAUAUGUCUUCUUUUCUAUUUCGAGCUUUAUUUUAGAUAUCCAAUGUUUAUAUAAAACGAUAUUCAAAUUCAUAAAAUUUUCGUAUAACGUUAUAAAUGAUAAUAAUUCUGUAUUAUUAUAUAAUAUUUCAGCAUCCUACUUAGAAAACUCUAAUAUUUUAUUCCCUUUAUCGUAGAUUGAUAAAUGUAUCUUAAACAAAUACGUGUCUAUCUUUAACUAUAUAUCCAUAUACAAUAGAUAUGUAUAUAUGCAUACGCAUAUG